CCAGACUCCUACGGGAGGCAGCAGUGGGGGAUAUUGCACAAUGGGGGAAACCCUGAUGCAGCGACGCCGCGUGGGCGAAGAAGUAUUUCGGUAUGUAAAGCCCUAUCAGCAGGGAAGAAGAAAUGACGGUACCUGAAGAAGAAGCCCCGGCUAACUACGUGCCAGCAGCCGCGGUAAUACGUAGGGGGCAAGCGUUAUCCGGAUUCACUGGGUGUAAAGGGAGCGUAGACGGCGGCGCAAGCCAGAUGUGAAAGCCCGGGGCUCAACCCCGGGACUGCAUUUGGAACUGUGCCGCUAGAGUGUCGGAGAGGCAGGCGGAAUUCCUAGUGUAGCGGUGAAAUGCGUAGAUAUUAGGAGGAACACCAGUGGCGAAGGCGGCCUGCUGGACGAUGACUGACGUUGAGGCUCGAAAGCGUGGGGAGCAAGCAGGAUUAGAUACCCUUGUA
rnacentral:rRNA from 1 species